UACGGAGGGUGCAAGCGUUGCUCGGAAUUAUUGGGCGUAAAGGGUAGGUAGGUGGUCUUAUUUGUCUGAGGUGAAAUCCUUGGGCUUAACCCAAGAAGUGCCUCAGAAACGGUAAGACUAGAGUCCUGGAGAGGGUCGUGGAAUUCCCGGUGUAGCGGUGAAAUGCGUAGAGAUCGGGAGGAACACCAGAGGCGAAAGCGGCGACCUAGACAGGAACUGACACUCAACUACGAAAGCGUGGGGAGCAAACAGG
rnacentral:rRNA from 1 species